AUAAUUGCUUGCAGAUCUUGGUCUACCAUUACUGUUGUUAUUCUGUUUUCCGAUUAAACUUCUGAAGCAGAGAAAAUAGGCGGAAAGGUACUUGAAGAUAAUAGUUUGGCUUUUGGUGACAUCGUCUUGACUUUGUAUAUGUCCUUAACGUGCACAGCCUAGAGAAGUGGAGCAUUGCUGGCUUAGGGACCUGGUCUCCUCGUUGCAAGAAUUUCUGAGGCUCUUCUGGAAUCAGGUGGGAGCCAAACUGAGGGUGYGUUAUUCCUUAAAACAAGCAUGGGAACUUUUAAGGAGGCACCACGGAAGGCCUGAUCCAGUUCUUGAGGAAAACAAUGGGAGUCUGAUUGGAGCCAUAGAAAGUCAUGAAGGGAAUUUCAAGGGAUAAAAGUGUGGAGCCAGACAUUCAAAAACAGCUUUUUAAAUAUGUGUUGCUGACCUUUCUUAUGGCUUGCAAAUGCAGUCUGAUUGCCCAAAGUGAGGUUAUUUUAGGGGGAAGGCACRAAAUUUGGACCAGAUACACUAAUGCUCAGAAAGAACCAGUGGACUUGCUUGGGAGCACAAGAGUGUGAGCUGGGCCAUGGAGAGCAGCUUGGAUUCAGCUCUCACCUCUGCCUGGGUUUCUCCUUGUUCAUGUGAUCAAACAUAGAGUGUGAUAAGAAGGGGCCAGACUGGAGAGCAGAUCCACCACUUACYCCUGCAAGGUAGUUUGGAAACUGAACUGAACAAAGGAAAGCAGUGACUCAGGUGUUGGGCUGAGUGGUCUGAAUGUAAGCUCUUAUUGCUGUGAUGGUCUUAGCGAGAAGACUCUGACCCAAGAAGAAGGAAAGAAAUCAACAUACUGGUUUUCAUUCAUGCUCAGAGAAGAAAUCUUCACUAAAUUUGACCGAACUGACCAGCCAGUCAGGCCCAGGGACAUAGGAUAAUCAGUGAGGUCAGUAUCUCUUAAGAUUUGAUGGCAAGGAUGUGGUCAUGUUGAAGAGACCUUGUACUGUAACAGAGACCGGAGGAAAGCCCUUUCAUCAGAAAACCUGCAAACAGGAGGGAGUCAACAGCUUAAGAUCUCUCUUUUGGUCCCAUACACAAGAAUCAAGGACAAUGACAUCUGUGCUGAGGAAAUACCCAUCCAUGGCUAUUUCCAGUGGCUGCAUUUGCUCUCUAGCUUUCACGGUUCUGGAGGAAAGCUUUGGAAGUGAGGACUGCAUUCCAAUAUGGGCUCAGUUGUGGUUUCCAAGUUGGACACAUUGCRUGAUAAGUAGAAGAGUUUUGCUGCCACAGAUGUUGCUGGAUAAUCCAAAUCAGCACUUUUGGGAAGAAGCAAACCAGGAGGAACUGUUGUGG
rnacentral:lncRNA from 1 species